rnacentral:tRNA from 2 species
AUCUAAAUAGUUUAAAUUGGAAAAUGUUGGUUUGUGGUGCCGACGAUGCAGUUGUGCUUUAGGUU